CAAUAGCGUAUAUUAAAGUUGUUGCAGUUAAAAGCUCGUAGUUGGAUUUCUGGUUGUUACAUCCGGUCCGCUUCGAAAGGAGUGUGUACUGUGAGGUGUGAUGGCCAUCCUCGGGGUGCUGUAUAUCUCACAUUCAGUUGUGGGGUGUAUGGUCCUCGUCAUUUACUGUGAGUAAACUAGAGUGUUCAAAGCAGGCUUAGGCCGUUGAAUACAUUAGCAUGGAAUAAUAAGAUAGGACCUUGGUCUAUUUUGUUGGUUUAUUUUCCAAGGUAAUGAUUAAUAGGGAUAGUUGGGGGUAUUCGUAUUCAAUUGUCAGAGGUGAAAUUCUUGGAUUUAUGGAAGACGAACUACUGCGAAAGCAUUUACCAAGGAUGUUUUCAUUAAUCAAGAACGAAAGUUAGGGGAUCGAAGACGAUUAGAUACCGU
rnacentral:rRNA from 1 species